AUGUCGGAUGGCUGGUCGGAUAAAAGAGGACGCCAUUUGAUUAACUUCCUUGUUAAUAGUCCAGAGGGCACUUUCUUCUUGGAGUCGGUUGAUGCCUCAAGUGUAUGUCAUGCUGGUGAUAUGAUAGCUGAUUUGCUUGAGAAGAGAAUUCUAGAUGUUGGAAAAGAGAAUGUGGUACAAGUUAUCACCGAUAAUGGUGCUAAUUACAAGAAAGCUGGCCACCUUCUAAUGGAGAGGAUGCCUACUCUAUAUUGGAGCCCGUGUGCAUGUCAUUGCUUGGACCUAAUGUUGGAAGAUAUAGGCAAGUUGAAGGCAUUUAAGAAGCCUAUUGCAGGGGCUAGACGUGUCACAACUUUCAUCUAUAGACAUGGAAGACUUCUUAGUCUAAUGAGGAAGGCCACGGGUGGGGAUCUUGUGAGACCAGCAGCCACUCGUUUUGCC
rnacentral:rRNA from 1 species